rnacentral:lncRNA from 1 species
GCCUGCCAUCAUCUCCUUCAAGCCUUACACUUCACCGCCGCAGGCCACCCACCGGAAAUCGCCAGCGGUGGCGGUUGGUCCCAAAGUCCAUCGAAAACUUGACCACGCAACCUCUUUUGUCCCCCAUUCCAAAUCUACUAUUAUCUUCCUCCAAAAAUCAUCCAACCUCUCCGAAUUUCAAAUCCGAGUUUGAAGAACAUCCAACAUUUUUGUUUUCUUUUUCCUUUCUGAUUCCUUCCUCAUCCGACCUCCCUUCGACGUUGGAAAAUUCAUGAAUCUACUACCCUUAUUGUGAGGAGGUGAUUAAAUAUGGUCCUAAUUGGGUUCAGAAUGGCCGGAUUUUGGGCGAGCAAGUAAUCGACUUGCUUCUAACUUUCUUCGGGUCAACGUUUUUUCUUGACAAACUGGCUGGUACACUUCUCUUUCUUUUUCCAUGACCUCGCCUGAUAUUAAGUUAUGCCUAAAACUAUUUUUAGUUCAUAAUAGCUUAACGAUAGAUUAAUAAUUGGUUUAAUUGCAUGUGUUAAUGAUUUGUUGUCUUUUGAGUGUCUCUUUUUCAAAACUUUUUUUUGGUCGUUUGAUUCAGAGUGUGUUUGCUUAAGUCCUCGUUGAAUUCAUGUCCUAUUACUGGGUGGGAUUUCAAUUUGGGCCUUGUAGUGCAGAAGCCCAAAAACAAAAAAGGGAGAGGGUUUAAGCAUGCUGGCUGCAUAGCCCAAUUGUGGUAUUUUCUGGAAAAAAACUAAUAACAAGAGGUUAAAGAGUAUUUAAGGGAUUUUGAAUUGAAAGAAUCUUUCAUAACCACUUAGGAAGGUUCUAGAAAAGUGGAAGAAUAGGUUGCUUUAUUAAAUAGGUUUAAAUGUUGGGUUUGAAUGGAAAAAGAGAAAAUUGGGGAAGGGGUAAUAGUAAAGAAAUAAAAACAAGUCUGCUGCCCUAAAACCCUCCUAUAAGAGGCUCUUUUAAUGAUUGUUUAGGGCAGAGAAGGAGAAGAUAAAAAAUAGGGAAACAACUGGAAAUUUCUUCUGAAAAUAUUCUGCUUGUUUUCAACCUUUCUACUUUUUGCUUCUUUUUUUCAAAAAGUUUUGGAGGAAUUCUCCUUUCAAUUUCUGGUUUUUUGAGUCAAGAUAUGACCUGAUCUGAAGCUAGUGUUGAUUAUUACUGCUGCAUCUUUGUUGCUGGUUCUAUUGCUUCCUGUUGUCUCUUGUUGAGUUCAGAGAUUUAUUUCCUUAUUUUGUUUGCUGUAUCCAGAUAUGUAUGUUGAACAUCUCUUGGCUAUCGAAUCCUGAACAAGAAGCCUUGGAUCAUUUGCCUCUUCAUUCUAAAAUGUCAUAUUGACUAUGUGGAUUGACUUCAAUAUUUUGAUUUUGUUCUUGUUUUCCUUACUUUGUGUUUCUAUAUUUCCUUUUAGCUAGAUAGAAUCUAGGUUUGAAUGUAUGUGGUAAUUAUCCCAUUUUAUGUAGGAUUGAAUGUUGUAAGGAUUUUUGAAGUUUAGCUUGAUUACAUGAUUGUUAAAGGGUGAUGGCCAAAUAUGAACUGCACGUUGAUGUUUUUUGGGGAAUUACAUGAGUAUAUGGGUUUCAUUUUCUCAGGGAUUUGAUGUAAAGCUCCUUUUUAAAUUAAUGUCCUGUCAGUCAUGAGUAUCAUGUUUUGCUUCUUUUACUUUAGCUAUGAUGGUGUCAAAUUGCUAGGACUUAAGUAGUAUGAUACCAAAAUGUUUAAAUGGAUGCCAAUCAAGUUUGAAUUUGUUUGAAUAGGAAUUCAUGGGUUCAUGUAAUAGUUCAAGUCUAUUUUCUCACUAUGUGAUUAAUGCAUGAGUAUUGCUUUAGGAAAGGAAGAUGUUAUAAAGUUCGUCAAACGAUUCACUUGUAAUAUUGCCAUGCUUCAAUCUGAGUGAAACCUUUUCAUUGACUCGUUGCCUCUUAGGUCUGUUGCUAUAAAUUUGCUGUUCAUUUAUUAUCUAGUUAAAAGUGUCAUUUUGUUGCCAUUGGACCUAAAGAACAGAACAAGGCUUUAUAAAACUAAAUAAGCUAUAGGACAAUAAAGAUUUCCUUUGUUGUGGGCCAGCAGGGAGCUAGCUGGGCCCAACCCAAUUCGAAUGGAGUAGCCUGGUCCAAGCCAGGCUUGAAAGCGCCCAGUCUUUGUUGCUUUCAUUUUGGGUUUGAUGUCAAGCCCAACAGCGUUCAGCAAUUGUGAUUUUAAAUGAUGCGACAAGUUUCCUAUUUGGGCCCAACGGUUCAGAAGUUUAAAAGCUUGCGCCGAUUUUAAAUACUUUAGUUGUAAUCUAGCUUGUCAUCAAACUUUGAAUUAACCUUGAGAAUGCAUGAAUCUCGUAGUUUGCUUUAGGCACGUAUUUAAAUCAUCACAACUAUGGUUCCCAUGGCGUGGUUAUGAUACCUAAUUUCAAAUUAGUCUUAAAUAUCUGUAGUUCACUUAGUUGAAGGCUUUCCUUUAAUAAAAUUGAGGUGUGCCAUACAAUCACCUAGUCUAUGGCCCUCACAUCAAUAUCUUGACUAGUAUAGAAAAAUGCCUUGAACCCUCGUAGUUUACUUUAGGCGCGUUAGUUAAAUAAAUUAUUAUAGCUACGGGUACGGUUCCCGUAACGUAGUUGCGAUGCUUAAUUUCUAAAAAAAUGGGGGUACAUUUAUGUGACCCGGCUAUAAUUUAAUCUUGUCAAUAAAGUAAAUAUAUUGUAGAUCGUAUGUAUGGUUCUCGUGACAUGAUUCGCAAUAUGUAAUCGAAUAAUUAGUUGUAUGACAAUGGGAUUAUUAAAAGCGGGUUUAAAAAGGAUAAAAAUGCACAUAGGUUUCAAGAAUAUUUUUAAAAUCAGAUAAAUAGGCCAAUAAUAAUAGUUGAGCGACCGUGGUAAAACCACGGAACCUGGAAAUGCCUAACACUUUCUUCCAGGUUAACAAAAUUCCUUAUCCGAAUUUCUGUGUUUUGCGGACUGAAAAAACAGAGUCAAACCUUCCUCAAUUCGGGAUUUUAAACCGGUGACUUGGGACACCAAUAAAUUAUCCUAAGUGGCGACUCUGAAAAAAAUAAAUAAAUAAUCCUAUUUCGAUUGUCACUUAAAUUGGAAAAACUCCCUUUAUACCCCUCUCGGGGGUAGGAAAAAGGAGGUGUGACAGCUCUGACGACUCUGUUGGGGAGAAGAACCCAGAACUUCUCGUUCAGGGUUCAAAAAUUCAAGCUUAGAACAAUUGUUAUAUUUGGCUUUUAUUUAUUAUCUGGUUUUAUUACAUGUUUGGGCCUAAUAUGCUAAAUGCUGCUUUUUACCGCUUUGAUACUAUUUGAACUGUAUAUAAACUGCUACGAAACCCUUCUUUUCUCAUCUUCGAGGAAGUGCAUGCUGGCGUGACUUCUUUUCUGUUAGUGUCUUCCCUUAAAUUAGAAAGAGGCUCGGACAAGUUACAAAGCCGGAUGGCCUUUUGGUUCCCGGUACGUAGCCCCCCAUCGGCUCGAGUUGUCCACUCGGGUACACAAGUCUAGAACAACAUACCCAGGUUUUGAACCUAGAAUAAUUCAACCUCAUGCCGGAUCCCUAGUAGGAACGCUUAUUUGCAUCAUGUGCAUUUGACUUUGGGGACUCAACACAGGGGUUGGGUCCGUCUAGGACAUGCGCACCCAAAAAUAAAAGACCAACAUGAUGCAUUUUUAUGUGCUACCUGUGCAUUUAAUUUGUUUCGGACUGCAUGUUGACUGGCUUCUAGAUUAAGUGAGGAAAAGCAAAAAGAAAAACCAAGUGAGGGGUAUGAGAGAGAAUUUCAUCCGUUGCCCAAAAUCCGGUACCCAAAACAUCCCGAAACUCUGCUGAAAAUUUUUUAAAAAGAGAGAGAAAAAGAGUAGAAAAAUUAUUUCAAAGUGUUUCUAUUUUUCAGUCGCGUCAAAACUGGUCGAACUACGCGGGUUUGGUUCUCACUGGAUGUGGGAUACGUAGGCAACCCUCAUCGGGUCCAGCCCCGCAUUUUGAAAAUUUUGGAAAAAAUAUAUGAAGCAUCGUCAUUUUGUCGUAAAUAAAGUGGGUGAUGUAGUUCUUGUCUAAAUAGCCGAAUGUCCCAACGGGACGCCGGAAGGCUGUUUUUGCAAGAAUAGUCGCCCACUGUGUUUUGUCAAUUUUGGCCAUUUAGCGAACACAACCCUAAAAACUUCUAUUUCAAAGUGCUGAAGGGCUGUAUUCGCAAAAGUAGCCCUGAUUUCUUGAUUUUUGCAAAAAAAAAAACCUCUUUUGUCAGUUUUUCAAAUAAGAUUCACUUUGUCUUUAAACUAAUCACCUUAAUCUAGAUGUGCAGAAUGAGCACGAGUCAAAAUUUGCCAAUAAAGGUCAUGAUCAAGAUUCCGUUGGAACUACACAUGUGGUGGGAAGAUUUAGGUGGGCAAGGACGAGAUACGGUCAAUCGUUACUUGGGGGGCCCCACCGGUUUACUAAAGAUCAGGCCCAGGGGAUAUAUAAUUAAAGCACUAGUAACAUUUUGGGAUCCUACUCACAAUGUUUUGUAUUUUUUGGACUUUGAACUUACACCCACUUUGGAGGAGAUAGCGGGAUAUGAUGGGAGUACCGAUGGUCAAAGACACAAAUACCUGGUCGCUCCAAGGGUCGUUACCCCUCACAAGUUUCUAGAUUUGUUGAAAUAAGCAGGGGGUCCAGUAUGCAGAUUUGGCGGCGGGGUUUUCCACUCUACGCUUCAUAUACCAGCGGUACAGACAUGUAGGAGGGUUUGAAAAUCUGGAAAGCAUUAUCUGCAGUAAAGGGAAUCGACCAAAAUGGGAAGAGCAUAGAUGUUUCGCCUUCAUGGUAGCAUUUUAGGGUCUUCUAGUGUUUCCCAAGAAGGACGAGAAUAUUGAUCUGUGGGUAGCCGGAGUCGUCAACACUUUGAUUACUAAUGCUAAAAGCACCCUCGCACCUAUGAUAGUAUCUGAAAUAUUCCGAGCUCUCACAGCUUGCAAAGACGAAGCAGAUUAUUUCGAAGGGUGCAAUCUGUUGCUACAAAUAUGGAUGAUUGAGCAUUUAUGUCAUCGCCCUCGAUACAUGAACUAUGGGUCGACAGGAAAAAGUUGCAUAGAGGAGUUUCAUACAAGGGCCGACAGGUUUAAGAUGCCGAAAGGGGUCGCUGAUUGGAUAUCGUACCUCCGUUCCAUAACUGCUGAUAAAAUAAAGUGGACGUUGGGUUGGCUUCCUGUUGAUGAAAUUAUAUACAUGUCUGCCACCGGUCCUCACUUCCUCUUGAUGGGUCUCAAAAGUAUCCAGCCUUAUGCCCCGUACCAGAAUUUGAGACAGUUGGGAAGAUGCCAAAUAGUUCCAAAGGAUGAAGACCUUAGCACUCAUGCAGUCGAGAUCCACUCUGAUGGCCAAUUUCAUGAAGCGGCGGUUUGCCAGAUCUGGAGUGAAUGCCAGUACUUGACAGCAAACACCCGAGUGCAUGAUCUAUCCAAGGGUGAAGUCUUAUUCGGUUACCUCGCUUGGUAUAAAAGAAGUGUUGAGUUUGGAAGACCAGCCAAAAGACCCCAUCUUCAAGAAUUUGUCGAAGCGUCACAGGUACAAAGGGAUUGGUUGGCCAAAGAAAAUGAGUAUAGGGCCACUAUAUGCAGGAUGGAAAAACAAGUCAGAGAUCUUCAAUUUGAGAAUGGUUUACAAGCCGCUGCGGAUGAGGGUGAAAAGAAAAGGCUAGCCAAAGAAAAUGAUGUCUUCCAAGCCCAAAUCCAAGAGAUGAAAAUAGCCACUGAGAAGCUCGCCAGGAGUGAAAAGGAUAAGAAACUUAUACACAACCUUAGGCAAAAGGUAGGUGACUACGGAUUUGACUUGGAAAAGGCUGAAGCCUAACUAGUAUAGGCUCGAGCAAAGUUAGCUAAGAAUGCAGAGGGACGGGCAAAUUACGUUCGACAUCUGAAGGAAAAGUACGAUAAAGGAAUCAUGGGUCUGAAGAAAAGGGUCAAUGCCCUUGAGAACGAAAUGACCAAGCAGACAAGAGAUUUCAAAGCAGAAAGAGAACACUGCUAUUCCCUGAUGUCGUAGCUAGAGAAAGACUUGCAGCAGCUUCAAGAGCAAAAUCAUACAGCCGAACAAGUUUUGGGGGCCAGAUAUUAGCAGAUCGGACGGUUGCUACAAGAGAAAGGUUCAUGGGUAUAUUGCAUGCAUAAAUGAAAAUAGGGUAUGGGGAGAUUGUGAGUUAAAAAGAUAGAAAUCGGGGUGUAAGAUGAUAAAAAUCUCUCACAAAAGGGUCCUAAAAUCACAAUGCACACUUAGUGCUUGAUAAUAUACUCAAAUGAGCUAGAACCUUAAUCAUGUCUCUAAUACUUGGUUCAUCUUGUAAUUCUCAUAAAAUAGAUCAAAGUUGAUAAGAGUUCCGGAGUUGUGUAAAAAUUUAAGGAAAGCUCUAUCGAGGUAUGUAUGGCUAAAACCCCCUCUUCUUAGAAAUUGAGCUCUGUUGGUGUCUAUGCAAAUGUGGUAAGACUAGAAUUUGAUUGAUGUAUUGAUUGUUAUUUCACAUGAAUUGGUUUUGAAAUUAUAUAUAUAUAUAUAUAUAUACAUGAAAAGUGUGCCUCAAUGUGUGAAAUGUACUAUUCUAGAUAUAUAAAGAUGUGCGAAGAAUAUGAAGUAUGUGUUGAAAUGCCUAGACUUCACGUCAAGAUUAAAACUGAGAUUGUCAUGCCAACUAUGUGAAAUCUUACUUAUGCUUAUAACUUGAAUUGCUUUUGUAUGUGCCUAUGAUCCUAAAUUGCAAGGUUAACAUUGAAAGUGGAAAUGAUGUGAUAAUUGUGGCCCUAAUGCCUAUAAAUUGAUAUAUGUGAAAUAAAGAUUGAAAUGACAUGAUUAAUGAGAAAGGAACAAUGUCUUGGUAAGGCGGCCUAGCCAAUCGGGCCGUGAUCGGAUGUCAUGCCACACACAUGGUGGUAUUGUGCUAAUAUUGAAUUUCGGAAAGUGAGAAUGAGAUUGUGGUUGAGGUACAUGUCUCAAAUAAGGCAACCUAGCCGAUCGGGUCGUGAUCGGACUCCGCUCAAGAAAGCGGUGGUAUUGUGAAUGAUGAUGAGCAGUAUUAAAUGCCCCAAACUAAAGCUAUGGAAAUUAUGUGAAAGUUAUAUGAUUCUUUUAUUUGAUGAUGUGGUGUUCGGUUAAAGCUUUUGAUUGUCCCUUGUGAUUUUCUUGUUCUUGUACGAUAGUUCUUUCUAAUAAGAUGGUCUUUAGUUAUACAUACUAGUACUAUUCCAUGGUACUAACGUCCCUUUUGCCAGGGGUGCUAUAUUUUUGAAUGAAUGUAGG